UGAUUUAUUACAGUUUUAAGCAAAUCGAAUCACUCAAAACAUCAAGAAUGAUGUUGCGAAGAGUUGGAUGAAUCAAUCAUUAAUUGUCAAAAUGAGCAAGAUCGUAAAAACAUUCAUCGAGUGAGCACCAAAAAUAUAUAUUAUACAAAUGGCGUUCACGAGGAGAAAUAGAUUUGCGAGUUAACUCAGAAACAAAUAUAUUAUUUUAUUUUUGUUAUAUGCCUAAAAUGGAAAUAAAACGUUAAUUGUA